CUUCAGCUGAGGAGAAACCGCGAACCGCGAGGAACUCAGUCCGAGGCGGAGAGAGGAAAAACACCCCGGCGCUUCACAUCUCGGCUUUUUUUGGCAGACGGGAGUGAGAAAAAUGGAAACUGAGAAUGGCACCGUGAAGAAAUAGAGACAUGAAGACUACAGUACCUGCUAAGCUACAGUAAAGGGGAGCUGAUCGUUUUCCAGCAUGUUCUCCAGAAGAUCGUGGGAGGUCAAGUGUAGAUGCAGCUGAUGCCCUGUCGAGGAAGCAAUGCCAAGCACCAAACCCCUACUGCUCUGGAUUUAGUCCAUUACAUAUUCCUGGAACCUCAGAGAAAGUAGCAUUUCCCAGUUUGGAAAAAAUCCCUCCACUGAAUGAAUAGUUUUCAUCAGGUACAUCUGAUGUGCCUCUUAUUUCUCCUCUUGGAAGAGAGAGCUUCAA